UCUACCACGGCAACACUCGCCCUCCUGCUUUCUCUCCAUUUCUCUCUUUUCAUCAUGAAGAAGCGCUGAGGAGCUCAUGGUACUUGCAAUUUUUACGAAAAUAAUGGCAAAGGGGAAAAAAAACAUGCACAUCUUUGCGGGACGGAACAGAAAGGAUGACCAACGGCAUGUCGUGUGUCUCAACGAAGACCCUGUCCAGGCCUGGGAGAGACAGAUAUACACACUAGCACGGGCAGUGACCUGUGGUCCGGCCAAUCGUUCUACAUCCCCUCCCCCCCGCCUGCCCAGUGUUCAGACUACCUGUUCAUCAUGCUGUAGCUGAACAGUAGUCCGCACAUUGGUUAGGCUGGGCCGGGACACACACACACUGGCACAAUCAUGUUCAACGCCUAUGUAGAGUAAACUCGACAGCUUUCUGCUUCAGGUAUAGACUGAAGGUCAAAAUCCUAAAUAUUGCACUCUACAAUGUUUACAGUCCAAUCUGUGUAGCAAUUACUGAAUUCACUAAUGAAGGUCUAUGUUAAACCUUGCCGUGUCUGUCCUUUUUGUCCAUAGCCAUGAUACAAUAAAGGCAUAUUAAUAUCUGGAAAAA